rnacentral:rRNA from 1 species
GACGAACGCUGGCGGCGUGCUUAACACAUGCAAGUCGAACGGAAAGGCCCCUUUGGGGGUACUCGAGUGGCGACCGGGUGUGUACCACGUGAGUAACCUGCCCUUGACUUCGGGAUAACUUCAGGCAACUGGGGCUAAUACCGGAUAGGAUUCCUUGCUGCAUGGCGGGGGUUGGAAAGCUUCGGCGGUUUUGGAUGGACUCGCGGCUUAUCGGCUUGUUGGUGGGGUAGUGGCUUACCAAGGCUUUGACGGGUAGCCGGCCUGAGAGGGCGACCGGCCACAUUGGGACUGAGAGACGGCCCAGACUCCGACGGGAGGCAGCAGUGGGGAGGAUUGCACAAGGGGCGGAAGCCGGAUGCAGCAACGCCGCGGGCGGGAUGACGGCCUUCGGGUUGUAAACCGCUUUCAGCAGGGGCGAAGCUUGUGGUGACGGUACCUGCAGAAGAAGCACCGGCUAAGUACGUG